UCUUCAGCCAGGGGGCAGGUCUGAACG
rnacentral:misc_RNA from 1 species